GAUGAACGCUGGCGGCGUGCUUAACACAUGCAAGUCGAACGAUGAAGCCCAGCUUGCUGGGUGGAUUAGUGGCGAACGGGUGAGUAACACGUGAGUAACCUGCCCUUGACUCUAGGAUAAGCCCGGGAAACUGGGUCUAAUACUGGAUAGGAACGUCUACCGCAUGGUGGGUGUUGGAAAGAAUUUCGGUCAUGGAUGGACUCGCGGCCUAUCAGCUUGUUGGUGAGGUAAUGGCUAACCAAGGCGACGACGGGUAGCCGGCCUGAGAGGGUGACCGGCCACACUGGGACUGAGACACGGCCCAGACUCCUACGGGAGGCAGCAGUGGGGAAUAUUGCACAAUGGGCGAAAGCCUGAUGCAGCGACGCCGCGUGAGGGAUGACGGCCUUCGGGUUGUAAACCUCUUUCAGUAGGGAAGAAGCGAAAGUGACGGUACCUGCAGAAGAAGCACCGGCUAACUACGUG
rnacentral:rRNA from 1 species